rnacentral:rRNA from 1 species
AUUGAACGCUGGCGGAAUGCUUUACACAUGCAAGUCGAACGGCAGCAUAGGUGCUUGCACCUGAUGGCGAUUGGCGAACGGGUGAGUAAUACAUCGGAACGUGCCCAGUCGUGGGGGAUAACGUAGCAAAAGUUACGCUAAUACCGCAUACGAUCUACGGAUGAAAGCGGGGGACCGUAAGGCCUCGCGCGAUUGGAGCGGCCGAUGUCAGAUUAGGUAGUUGGUGGGGUAAAGGCCCACCAAGCCAACGAUCUGUAGCUGGUCUGAGAGGACGACCAGCCACACUGGGACUGAGACACGGCCCAGACUCCUACGGGAGGCAGCAGUGGGGAAUUUUGGACAAUGGGCGCAAGCCUGAUCCAGCCAUUCCGCGUGCAGGAUGAAGGCCUUCGGGUUGUAAACUGCUUUUGUACGGAACGAAAAGCUCUGGGUUAAUACCCCGGGGUCAUGACGGUACCGUAAGAAUAAGCACCGGCUAACUACGUGCCAGCAGCCGCAGUAA